GCCGGGCGCGGUGGCCCAUGCCUGUAAUCCCAGCACUUUGGGAGGCCGAGGCGGGUGGAUCACCUGAGGCCGGGAGUUCUAGACCAGCCUGGCUAAUAUGGUGAAACCCUGUCUCUA
rnacentral:sRNA from 1 species